rnacentral:misc_RNA from 1 species
GAUGAAGAACGUAGCGAAAUGCGAUAAUUAUUGUGAAUUGCAGAAUUUAGUGAAUCAUCGAAUCUUUGAACGCACAUUGCGCCCCUUGGUAUUCCGGGGGGCAUGCCUGUUCGAGCGUCAUUUCAACCCAUCAAGCUUAGCGCUUGUGUUGGAGCCCUGCGGCCGCCGCAGCCUCCUAAAAUCAGUGGCGGGCUCGCUAUCACGCUGAGUGCAGUAGUAUUCUUCUCACUCCUGUGGUGUAGCGGGUAACCAGCCGUAAACCCCCCCAUCUAUAAAGGUUGACCUCGGAUCAGGUAGGAAUACCCGCUGAACUUAAGCAUAUCAAUAAGCGGAGA